UGGGCCAAUUUCAGAUCCAGCAAUGCCGCGUGAGGAAGAAGGCCUUAUGGUUUUAAACUCUUUUAUAUUGGAAGAAAGGGUGGG
rnacentral:rRNA from 1 species